GAUAGCCCUCAAGCCUAGGUUCUUAAGAGCUGGAUGGAUGAAGAUUCUAAGCUGUUGGAGGAAUCGCUUUCAACUGUCUGUCUGAAGCUGGAUUUCAACACUGGAGCUGUGAAUCUGGGACUCUCCCUGGAAAACCCAUCUUUCAAGCUGCUUGCCUUAGAUUAUCAUCAAGAAGGGGUUGAGAGGAAAUCGCCAUUCAUUCUGAUGGACAGAGUGAUUUUGGAAGAGAAUUUCUCCCUUCCUGGAUCUUCUAAGGACUUUAUAACUGGAUUACUGCAGCCUGACCCACCAAGCACUCUGGAGAGGAUCUUCCUCUGUCUUCACUUUUGAAGAAGACUCAUGACCCCACAUGACUUGUGUUGGAAUUGGAUUGUAGUGUGGCAGAAUUGUUCAGAGCCUCGCUCUCUUUUCUAGAGACAUCCAAGAUCAAAAGGCAAGACAAAAGUCAGGAUUGCUGGUGAUGGCCAGGACGCAGUGACCAUGGCCAUUGGACCUUGGCAUCAGCGCUAAGAGUUCUGUAUUGCUGGCUUCGGCCCUUUUCAGUGCUUGUCUGCCCAUUGUGCUGGGAAAAGACUUCACAUAUUUGGAGUAGUUGAUGCCUCUAGAUCGCCAAAAGGUUUAAAGCCUGUUGGUUACCAUCGAGUGGUUUAGUCUGUCUGCUGAGAUGGGUUUACUGGGAUGUGGCUACAGCUUCUUCAUUCUCAAUGGAAUUGAUAAAUUUGUGGGGUGGAGUUUCCAUACCCUCAAGAGGACCUCAACGCCACUGAAAAUAGAAAAGACCAAAUGGGGUCCCAUUCAACCCCAGAUAUCCAGAUACCAGGUACUUACACAAUAAUUCCCAGGAGAUAGUGAAGCCAUUGGAACAACUAUUAAAGACCUGCUGAAUGCAGGAGUAGUAUGUCCCACUUCUUGUGAAUAUAACUCUUCCAUUUCACUAGUGAAAAUGGCGGUGGAUUAUAAAGCAAGGCAGUAAAGAAGCUACCAGGAGCAACCCCUAAUAUUAUUACCCUAAUUGUAAACAUAAUCAAGGCCCCUGGGGACUGAUUUGGAGUAAUCACCUUGCCAAUGUCUCCUUUGCAUGCUGACCAUCAAGAUCAAUUUGCUUUUAUUUUGGAAAGGAAACCAGUAUACCUUUACCGCCUUGCCACAGGGGAGCAGUAACUCAAUUUCUCUGGUUCUAAGUCAAAUUGGACAAGAUCUGCAUGUAGUUUACUCUGCCCCAGGAGUUUUUGUGAUGUAUUACAUUGACAACAUCAUCAUCCAAAGCAAAGACUUAGAAAGUGAGCAGAGAGCCCUAAAGAUUAUUUGUGCCACCUCAAAACAUGGAGACUGGACAUUAGCUCUGAGAAGGAAGAGAGGUUGACUUCUGUGAUCUUAUAAUUUUCAUGGGAAAAGGACUCUGAAAAGGAGGUCUUGAUGCCUGGUGCAGGAAACACAAAGUGGAUGUUGGUCCCUUGGGGAACCACCUAUACCACUUGCAUAAAUUCCUGAAAGGAGACCCCCAUGACCUUGCCUGUGUGGAUUGCAGUUAGAGUCCGGAUACUCCUGGUUGGUUACAAGGCAGAAGUUUCUCCCAUUAAUAUUACUGAUGUUGUAAGUUUAACCAACCCCACUGACCAGGGACAGGCUGGUACCACCCCUAGCUAAUGAAAAAACUCCUUUUGUGCUUUCUAUUGGCUGAUUCCCUCCCUUCAUGGCAAAGGGCAUCUAGGUAGUGUCUUGGCUAGAGCUCCUGGCCUGGAGUCAGGAUCACUUGAAUUCCAAUGGAAAGACUCUCUGUUUGCCUCAGUUUCCUCACCUAUAAAAUGAGAAUAAUAAUAGCCCUAACUCCUUGGAUAGUAGCGAGGAUCAAAAAAAGUAACAUUUGUAAAACAGCACAAUUCCUGGCACCAGUGGAUGCUUUAUAAAUAAGUGCUUAUUCCCUUCUUUUCUUCCUCCUCUUUUCCUUUCUUUUCUUUCCAUAUCCUCUAGCCCUUUGGAGCAGAGGAAGGACAGGGAGGAGGAUGAAGACUCAUACUCCUGGCUCCUAUUGUGUCCAUUCCUCCUUUCUUUCUGCCCCUGCCCCUGUGUAGGUGCUUUCCAAAUAUCUACCUCACUCUAUCCAUGUUCUGAUUCCCUUUUCUAUCCCUUCUUCCCAAUUCACUCCUUCUCUUUUGCUUCAAGGGGUUCAAUUUAAGGGUUUUGUUUUUGUACUUCCAGCACCUCCCACAGAAUCUUGCAAAUGUAUGAAGUCAAUUAAGGCUUAUUGAGUUGAAAAUUAAAUUAAAUUGAGGCUAGGACUACAGAAAUUCUCAUCUCCAUUUUACAAGUGUAUAAACUAAGACUCAGAAAGGUUAUGUGACUUACAUCAUAGUCUAGUAAGUGUUGGCAGUAGGGUUUGAACCCAGGUGUCUCUGACUUGGGUUCAAUAUGCUUGUCACCAUAUUGUGGUGUCUCCAAUGGUACAGUUGAGCUUAAUGUUCUUGAAAGAUGUCUUUCCAAAUUUGAUAAAUGAUUCUGGGAGGCAAAGCUAAACUUGGCACCAGUGUCAAAUCUGGCAUCCAUCAGUGUCCUCUUCCUUUGUCUCCUUGUCUAGUAUCCUCAAAUCCUCAUGCCCACUAGAGAGUUAGAACUACUAACAGGUAGUAGCAUUGGCUGUGUAGACACUAAUGCAGGGGAGACACAGAGGGAUGCUUAAACUUUUCUUUUUAUAAAUGUACAUUUUUUUUAAUGCCAGAAAUUCUGUUCCCCAUCAUUUAUUUUGUGCUGGGUUAACUUGCACAUCUUUUAGUGAAGAUCUGAAACCUCCCCCAGACAGUGACACCUGGGGGCUAUGAUUGUCAAAACUUGCCCUUUGCUACAAAUGCUUAUAGCAGCUUCAGGCACACUUGCCAUAGGCUGUCUCAUUGUAAGGCCUCUCUUGGUUUUGCCACCCACCAGACAUUGCUUUAAGAUUUGGGUAUUUACUCACCUCUUUUCUUUCCUCCAUUACUAAUCCAUCCCUGGUCUAGCUUUCAUUUCUCUUAAUGUCUUACUCUUUGCUUUCCAAGCUAAUUAAAUAAAUAAACACACCCAAAUGGAUUAAAGGAUCA
ensembl:lncRNA